GGGCACACCCGUAGACCUCGCCUGGCGCUGCCUGUGGCCGGGCGAGGGGGACAGCGUGUGCAAGAGUGAUUGGCGUUCCUGCCGGCCCCAGCCGGCUCGCUCGCCGGCUGGGUAAAUGCAGUGCACCUGACAUUC
ensembl:snoRNA